CCAAUUUCGAAAGAUGAGAUGGGGCUAUCUCCCUUUUCAAUAAUGACAUCCCUGAUUACGUGGCAACCUGGGGUUGCAGGCUUGCCUCCCCCAAAUGGGUUACGUCCAAAAACAAAAAGCAACAAUCUAAGCGGCAACGCCGCGGCCUAUUUUUCCGUAACUCCUCGAAUUCCACUGCCGGCACCACUCACUCACUCCACACUCCACGCGUCCACCUCAGGUAUCUUUAUUGCCGAUUUUCCGGCGAAAUUAUAGCGAUUUUGGCUUGAAUUUUGCAGCAUGGCGCCGGAAGAAACAGUUUCCAAGUCACCUCUGGACAAACCGCUCCACCUACUUACCGAUGACGACAUUUCUCAGCUCACUCGCGAAGAUUGCCGCCGUUACCUUAAAGAGAAAGGAAUGAGAAGACCGUCAUGGAAUAAAUCACAGGCGAUUCAGCAGGUGAUUUCACUGAAGGCGCUUCUCGAGACGACGCCGGAUUCUGACACCGGCCCUCGGAGAAAACUUCACAUUCCUCGCCCAGACACUAGAGUACAACAAGUCCAGAAAGGAACGGAUACCGAUGCAGAAUUUUCGGAAUCGGCUGAAGGGACGGUGCCAUACGGAAGAAAACAUUCGAAAAAACCUGAUAUUCCCGGUGAAAUAGCUGCCGGUUCAGUUGCUGUUGCCGCCGGCAAUAACUUAGCUCCUUCUAGAACCACAGAUUUGGGAAACACACCAGCAAGUCAAUUGACAAUCUUCUAUUGUGGCAAGGUGAAUGUGUACGAUGAUGUGCCCGCUGAAAAGGCACGAGCAAUCAUGCAUCUCGCAGCAACUCCACUCUGCGUGCCUUCAGAAACUCCAUUGGGUGCUACCUUAGCAGCUCGACAUUCCGAAUGCCAUUUGCAAGCUUCAAGUGUUAAACUGGGUCCAGAUUCUGCUAUGGUGCUCAUGCCAACCAUGCAAACAGGGAAAAUGAGUGAAGUGACUCGCCUGCGUCCGGAGGAAAGCAAUACCUUCUAUGAAGACAACUCUGAAGCAGUGGAAGGCCACCCAAGCAGGAAAGCAUCAGUACAAAGAUAUCUUGAGAAGCGGAAAGACAGGUGAAGGUUCAAGAGCAAGAGAAAGAUAGGAAUGUCUUCGUCUGCUAGCUUGGACAUCUAUGUGAGCCAUCAAACUGGAAAUCAUACCCUUAAUGAGCUCUCAAGUAGGAGCAACACUUGUUCCCCUCCCACAAUUAGACUAUCUGCUGCACCUGCUCCAACUGGUAUAAUGGCUAACAAUAUCGAAAUGAAUGCCAGAGUUUCUGCUUUUCUCAAUGACAAAGAUGCCAAAGAGUGAAAACUGUAUGGCGGGGAACAGUAGCUGUCUAAUUUGCUUUCAUGCACCAGAAAGUCUGGGAGGUAACAUCUUUUCCAGCGUCCACAUAGUCGAAUGACGAGGAAACAGGGUGGGUUGUUCCUUGUGAAUCUGUGUCCAAAAGCACUUUGUAUUUAUGCUGUUGCCAUUUCUCAGGCAAACAUGAAGAGAAAACUAGUCGGGAAUAGUCAGUCCUCUGUGAUGCGAUGUUUUUGCUUUCAGAAUCUUCUGGAAAGCUUCUCCCUAAGAAUCCCACUUUAGGCAGGUGCAUUUUUGCUUUCAGGUGCAUUUUUCCUUUUGCUGGAAUUGGUUCUCAAGGAGCUAACGUGGAGCCCUGUAAUUAGUUUCUGUAACUUUCCACUCUAACAAAACAGUUAAUUGGCCGAACCCUGAAAGUACUUGGGUUACAAAGGCAAGUUCUCGUUUUAUUUGGACUGAUUCUUCGGAAAAUUUAAAUGGUCGACUUACUAAAAGGGUUUUAAGGUUGGUUAAUUAGUGGAGUAGUAGAUUCGUCAAAAGAUGCUACCCUAACAAGCCAUGAUUUCAACGAUUCAUGUUGCAGUAAGGCUAAAAUAUUAGGAUAAAUUUAUUAAUGCCGAUGAGGAAUACUUUGGUCCAUCAGGGACAUGUGGUUCACUAUGUUAAGAGGAAUUUCGGAUACCUCGAGACUGCAGUUUUUGAAGGCAUGUUAGAAGAACGUCUAAUGUUUAUGGUGUUCACCUUACUGAUAAAAGUUUUAAUUUUUAUUUAUAAGGAAGCAGCUAAUAUUUCAGCU